rnacentral:misc_RNA from 1 species
UACGAACUCAUUUAUGGACGCACGCCAUUUGCAGCUCCAUCAAAUGAGAUGACACUGCGCAACAUCUUGGAAAAGCCCUUGAGUUUUCCAACCCAUUCCCCAUGCUCAUCGCUUGAGCUCCACGCGCGAGACCUGAUAUCGGGGCUGUUGAAUAGAGAUCCGAGCACUAGACUCGGGUCGAAGCGGGGAUCUGCCGACGUAAAAACCCACCCAUUUUUUAAAGGGCUUAAUUUCGCCCUAAUAAGGACGGUGGCACCCCCUGAGAUUCCCGGUUUACGAAGGCAAAGAACGGCAACGUUUUAUCACUCGAAGCCUAAUUAAACGCCGUUGAUUUAG